CAUGUCCUUUUGAUGAUAAUUUAAGGUCUAAUCUGCUCAAUGAUUAAUUAAAUUGCCGCAGUAUUUUGACUGUGCAAAGGUAGCAUAAUAAUUAGUUUCUUGAUUAGAAGCUUGUAUGAAUGAUUGGACGAGAAAUUUACUGUCUCUUUUUGAAUUUUUUUGAAUUUUAUUUUUAAGUAAAAAAGCUUAAAUUUUGAUAAAAGACGAGAAGACCCUAUAGAGUUUAAUAUUUAAUAAUUAUUUAAUUUUGGAAUUUUCUUUUGUGAUUAAGUAUUUGGUUGGGGUGACUUGGAGAUUUGAUGAAUUCUUUAAAUUUUGUAUUGAUGAUUAUUAAUUUUUUAAUCUGGAAUUUUUAAAUUUAAAAUAAAUUACCUUAGGGAUAACAGCGUAAUUUUUCUUUAAAGUUCUUAUUGAAAGAAAAUUUUGCGACCUCGAUGUUGGAUUAAAAUAAAUUUUUGGUGCAGCAACUUAAAAAUUAGGUCUGUUCGACCUUUAAUAUUUUACAUGAUUUGAGUUUAAACCGGUGUAAGCCCGGUUGGAUUCUAUCUUUAGUUUGUUAAAAUAUUUUAGUACGAAAGGACCAAAUAUGUAUCAAAUAUUGAUUG
rnacentral:rRNA from 1 species